rnacentral:rRNA from 1 species
GGCGGUUUGUCGCGUCUGCUGUGAAAUCCCGAGGCUCAACCUCGGGCCUGCAGUGGGUACGGGCAGACUAGAGUGCGGUAGGGGAGAUUGGAAUUCCUGGUGUAGCGGUGGAAUGCGCAGAUAUCAGGAGGAACACCGAUGGCGAAGGCAGAUCUCUGGGCCGUAACUGACGCUGAGGAGCGAAAGGGUGGGGAGCAAACAGGCUUAGAUACCCUGGUAGUCCACCCCGUAAACGUUGGGAACUAGUUGUGGGGUCCAUUCCACGGAUUCCGUGACGCAGCUAACGCAUUAAGUUCCCCGCCUGGGGAGUACGGCCGCAAGGCUAAAACUCAAAGGAAUUGACGGGGACCCGCACAAGCGGCGGAGCAUGCGGAUUAAUUCGAUGCAACGCGAAGAACCUUACCAAGGCUUGACAUAUACGAGAACGGGCCAGAAAUGGUCAACUCUUUGGACACUCGUAAACAGGUGGUGCAUGGUUGUCGUCAGCUCGUGUCGUGAGAUGUUGGGUUAAGUCCCGCAACGAGCGCAACCCUCGUUCUAUGUUGCCAGCACGUAAUGGUGGGAACUCAUGGGAUACUGCCGGGGUCAACUCGGAGGAAGGUGGGGAUGACGUCAAAUCAUCAUGCCCCUUAUGUCUUGGGCUUCACGCAUGCUACAAUGGCCGGUACAAAGGGCUGCAAUACCGUGAGGUGGAGCGAAUCCCAAAAAGCCGGUCCCAGUUCGGAUUGAGGUCUGCAACUCGACCUCAUGAAGUCGGAGCCGCUAGUAAUCGCAGAUCAGCAACGCUGCGGUGAAUAC